rnacentral:lncRNA from 1 species
UUUUUUUUUUUAAUCUUUUUUUUAAAGAUUUAUUUAUUAUUAUAUGUAAGUACACUGUAGCUGUCUUCAGACACUCCAGAAGAGGGAGUCAGAUCUCGUUACGGAUGGUUGUGAGCUACCAUGUGGUUGCUAGGAUUUGAACUCUGGACCUUCGGAAGAGCAGUCGGGUGCUCUUACCCACUGAGCCAUCUCACCAGCCCAAAGAUUUAUUUAUGUAUUUAUUUUAUGUGAGUACACUGUUGUUGUCUUCAGACACACCAGAAGAGGACAUUGGAUCCCAUUACAGAUGGUUGUGAGCCACCAUGUGGUUUCUGAGAAUCGAACUCAGGACCUUCGGAAGAGCAAUCAGUGCUCUUAACCGCUGAGCCAUCUCUCCAGCCCUGAAUUUUUUAAAAAAUAUCAAAAAACAAUAAGAAAAAUAAUGUUCUCAUGAAUAUUCACAUAUAAUUUUUUUAUGAACAUACAUGUUUCUUUCUUGGACCUUAUACCUACAAGUAGAAUUACUGGAGAAUAUGAUAAUUCUGUAUUUCGAGCAGUUACCAAGGGCCCACUUUUCUACAUUCUUGGCAACUACUUCAAGAAACAAAACAAAUUCAGGGUCACGCUAUAUUGCCCAGACUGUUCGUGAUCUAGGAUCAAGCAUUUCCCCCACCUCAGCCUACCCGGUACCUGGAACUCUACAUGCACACUAUCAUGCCUGAUGCUUACCCAUUUUCUCCUUUAGUUUGUUGGUUUGGUUUUGUUGGGGCCAAGGUUGAGACUGAGUCUUAUGUAGCCCAGGCUAACCUCCAACUUCUCUGUAUGAGAGGAUGACCUUAAAUCUCUGCUGUCAGCUCCCAGUACUGGGGUCGCAGGUGUGCACCACCACAGCUGUGUGUGUGGUGCUGGGAUUGGAGCCAGGGCUUUGUGGGCAUCCGGCAGCACUGCCUGCUGGGCUGUUUCCUCAGUCCUUCUGUCUUCUUCAUCAUACCCAUCCUGGAGGGUAUGAGGUGCAUUCAUGGUAGCCACACUUUAUUGCUAUAUGCGUUGUGGGUGUGUCUAUUGAACUUUUUAAAACGUGGGCUUUGUGUAUGUUGCGGAAGUUCAGAAAAAUUAGAGGCUAAAACACAAUCAGUAUGGGACUGGAAACCCUAAAUCUUAAUUACCAAAAGAAUGUUUUGAUCUGGUUUAUUAAUAUUCUUUAUUUAUUAUUCUUUCAGAGACAGCAGUUGGGCACCUCAGUAGAAUUAGAAAUGGCCAAGAUGCUUGAGGAAAAUACAAAUAUCCUUAAAUUUGGAUAUCAGUUCACGCAGCAGGGACCCCGAACCAGGGCAGCCAACGCGAUAACGAAGAACAAUGACUUAGGUAAGAUUAAUGUGGCGCUGAGUCAUAGUUCCAAAAUACAAUACGGAGCUAUUUUUGGAAAUAAUUUUUAACAUAGAAAAAGUACCUGUCUUUAGUGUCUAAUACUGCUGGGUCCUUUAUACGGCGAGUCAGAGCCAAGCCAGGUUGUAGUAGUCUUCCUGUGUUAAACCAACGUCUGUGACAAACACGCGAUAGCUUUAAGUGAAGCUUUUUAUUCUUAGUUGUCAGUUAUUCCUUGUGCUCUGAAAUAAGGAGUUCCAUGCCACCAGAAAGCAUCUGGCCAAUUUAUCAAGCAGACGCAGGCAGAAAUUCAGCUUUCUCAUGUGAAGUACAGGAUAAAUACAGCUUGCCUCCCCGCCUCCCGGAUGUGCAGGCCCUGCCUGCUGCCUCUGCCUGCCUCAGUUCCUUUCCCACUGAGUCAUGCUCUCUGACUGAAAUGAAGUCUGGAUGAGGUAUAAAUAUGGUCUUCAUAAUUUUGUUUCUCUGAGUUUCCAGAAAGUGACUCUCCUUUUAAAUGCUCUUUGCCACUAGAAUGUUUUACAGGAUUCGUUACAGGGAGAGUAAGUCUGAAACAGGGCAGCGUUUCCAAGCAAUGUAGUUCUUUUAAGCUUCAACCAUGUUUGCAUUUAUAUUGCUGUAGUUUGUUCCUUUAAUCCAAGUUCAUCUGAGCAGUGUUGUUUAAUUCCCUGUCUGUGCCAGGUGCCCAUAGCUGUUUUAGCAACUCGUUUUCAGAAAGAAAGCGUCCCUUUGCUCUGUACUUGGUUCUCAGCCACCAACUUGUCUUAGUGUCGGCUCACUCUUGUAAGGGCUUUGCCUUUGCUGUUCAGAGUGGUUCUUAAAUCUGGGCUGAACUUUGUAAAUAGCUGAAAACUUCCUUCCCUUAGAGAUUCAGAUUUAGAAAAGAGUGGAACUUGUACAUAUUGGCCCUUACCAGGUAUUCUAAUCCUGUUGUGGGCAGUCCCUCACUGAAAUAGCUUAUUUCUCUGAGUAUUGGGAGAUAUUUGGGUUUCUGGGUCUGAUGUUAAUACAGAUCUUAAACACAUGUGCCAUAUAUAUUUUCUACUUACCAUAUUUGUUAUACUUUUAAAACUGCCUUUUAUUUUAUAAGUUAGUUGUAGUUCAUUUAAAGUGUCUGUCUCCGAAUAAAUUUUGUUUUUGAGCAGGGUCUUGCCAUUACAACUCAGGCUUGCCUCAAAUUCCUGGUGAUCCUCCUGCCUCUACCUGCAGAAUGUGUGGAUUUAGCUAGCGUGAGCCAACAUGCCAGCUAAAUUAGUUGGUUUGGGGCAGGCCGGAUGGCUCGUUGGGUAAAGUGGUUGCUACUGAAGCCUGACGUCCUGAGUUUGCUCCUCAGAACCCGUGUAGCAAUGCAAAGAAAGACUCAAUGCCAAAACGUUGGCUUCUGACCACACACACACCAUGGCACACACACACACACAUGUAUUCACACAGCAUACACAAGGAUAAUAUAUAAACAUUUUAAAACAAAAUAAUGUUUUCAUACAUUACAGUUUCUUUAGCAUAGAGACCAUGUUGCUGUCAGGAGCCAUGUUCAAAAUCAUAUCUGGUCCAUAGUAGGUAUUUAUUAAAAAUAGUAGGGAUUAGAGUACUUGCCUAGCAUGGUCAAGGUCCUGGAUUUGAUCUCUAGC